CUGUCAGCGUCUAAGCGAAAGCAUUAAGUGAUCCACCUGGGGAGUACGAUCGCAAGAUUGAAACUCAAAGGAAUUGACGGGGGCCCGCACAAGCGGAGGAGCAUGUGGUUUAAUUCGAUGAUACGCGAGGAACCUUACCUGGGCUAGAACGCUGGACGACCGUCCGGGAAACCGGAUUUCUCUUCGGAGCGGCCAGCGAGGUGCUGCAUGGUUGUCGUCAGCUCGUGCCGUGAGGUGUCGGGUUAAGUCCCAUAACGAGCGCAACCCCUAUCAUUAGUUGCCAUCAGGUCAUGCUGGGAACUCUAGUGAAACUGCCUACGCAAGUAGUGAGGAAGGUGGGGAUGACGUCAAAUCAGCACGGCCCUUACGUCCAGGGCUACACACGUGCUACAAUGGCCGGUACAAAGGGCAGCUACUUGGUGACAAGAUGCUAAUCUCAAAAACCGGUCUCAGUUCGGAUCGAAGUCUGCAACUCGACUUCGUGAAGUUGGAUUCGCUAGUAAUCGUAUAUCAGCAAUGAUACGGUGAAUACGUUCCCGGGCCUUGUACACACCGCCCGUCAAGCCAUGGGAGUUGGGGGUACCUAAAGUACGUGACCGCAAGGAGCGUCCUAGGGUAAAACCAAUGACUGGGGCUAAGUCGUAACAAGGUAGCC
rnacentral:rRNA from 1 species